rnacentral:lncRNA from 1 species
GAAUGGUAGAACUAAGAAGAAAGGUACUGAUAUCAAGAAAACAUGAGUGAUAUAUCGAUCAAAUAUCGGCCAAACGUUGGUCAAAUAUCGGUCAAUAUCGCCAAUAAUAUCGGUACCGAUAUUUGACACCGAUAUAUUACAUGUGACCGAUAACCGAUAUAUAGGGGUGUAAACAAGCCCAGAGGCUCGAGAGCUACUCGUGAUCG